rnacentral:rRNA from 1 species
UACGGGAGGCAGCAGUGGGGAAUAUUGCACAAUGGGCGAAAGCCUGAUGCAGCUAUGCCGCGUGUAUGAAGAAGGCCUUAGGGUUGUAAAGUACUUUCAUCGGGGAGGAAAAAACAAAACUAAUAAUUUUAUUUCUUGACGUUACCCGAAAAAGAAGCACCGGCUAACUCCGUGCCAGCAGCCGCGGUAAUACGGAGGGUGCUAGCGUUAAUCAGAAUUACUGGGCGUAAAGAGCACGUAGGUGGUUUUUUUAAGUCAGAUGUGAAAUCCCUGGGCUUAACCUAGGAACUGCAUUUUGAAACUGAAAUACUAGAGUAUCGUAGAGGGAGGUAGAAUUCUAGGUGUAGCGGUGAAAUGCGUAGAUAUCUGGAGGAAUACCUGUGGCGAAAGCGGCCUCCUAAACGAAUACUGACACUGAGGUGCGAAAGCGUGAGGAGCAAACAGGGAUUAGAUACC